UAUCUGUAUGUGGGGUGCAGUGUGCAUGAGGGCUGCAAUGUCUGUGCGAGUGGUACAGUGUGCAUGAGGGCUGCAAUGUCUGUGCGAGCGGUACAGUGUGCAUGAGGGCUGCAAUGUCUGUGCGAGAGGUACAGUGUCUGUGUGUGGGGUGCAGUGUGCAUGAGGGCUGCAAUGUCUGUGCGAGAGGUACAGUGUCUGUGUGUGGGAGGCAGUGUGCAUGAGGGCUGCAAUGUCUGUGCGAGUGGUACAGUGUCUGUGUGUGGGGUGCAGUGUGCAUGAGGGCUGCAAUGUCUGUGCGAGAGGUACAGUGUCUGUGUGUGGGGUGCAGUGUGCAUGAGGGCUGCAAUGUCUGUGCGAGCAGUACAGUGUCUGUAUGUGGGGUGCAGUGUGCAUGAGGGCUGCAAUGUCUGUGCGAGUGGUACAGUGUACAUGAGGGCUGCAAUGUCUGUGUGAGGGUUACAGUGUCUGUGUGUGUGGUGUAGUGUGCAUGAGGGCUGCAAUGUCUGUGCGAGUGGUACAGUGUCUGUGUGUGGGGUGCAGUGUGCAUGAGGGCUGCAAUGUCUGUGCGAGUGGUACAGUGUGCAUGAGGGCUGCAAUGUCUGUGCAAGCGGUACAGUGUCUGUG